rnacentral:rRNA from 1 species
GAUGAACGCUGGCGGCGUGCCUAAUACAUGCAAGUCGAGCGAACAGACGAGGAGCUUGCUCCUCUGACGUUAGCGGCGGACGGGUGAGUAACACGUGGAUCACCUACUUAUAAGACUGGGAUAACUUCGGGAAACCGGAGAUAAUACCGGAUAAUAUAUUGAACCGCAUGGUUCAAUAGUGAAUGACGGUUUUGCUGUCACUUAUAGAUGGAUCCGCGCCGCAGUAGCUAGUUGGUAAGGUAACGGCUUACCAAGGCAACGAUGCGUAGCCGACGUGAGAGGGUGAUCGGCCACACGGGAACUGAGACACGGUCCAGACUCCUACGGGAGGCAGCAGUAGGGAAUCUUCCGCAAUGGGCGAAAGCCUGACGGAGCAACGCCGCGUGAGUGAUGAAGGUCUUCGGAUCGUAAAACUCUGUUAUUAGGGAAGAACAAAUGUGUAAGUAACUAUGCACGUCUUGACGGUACCUAAUCAAAAAGCCACGGCUAACUACGUG